rnacentral:rRNA from 1 species
AUUGAACGCUGGCGGCAGGCCUAACACAUGCAAGUCGAGCGACCGGCGGACGGGUGAGGAAUGGAUGGGGACUGCCCGCGAGAGGGGGAUAAGUACUGGAAUCGGUAGCUAAUACCGCAUACUAUCGGAUAACCCAUAUGGGAUUAGCUAGUAGGUGAGGUAAUGGCUCACCUAGGCGACGAUCCCUAGCUGGUCUGAGAGGAGGAUCAGCCACGCUGGGACUGAGACACGGCCCAGACUCCUACGGAGGCAGCAGUGGGGAAUAUUGCACAAUGGGCGCAAGCCUGAUCCAGCCAUGCCGCGUGUAUGAUGAAGGCCCUAGGGUUGUAAAGUACUUUCAGUCGGGAGGCGUUACCGACAGAAGAAGCACCGGCUAACUACGUGCCAGCAGCCGCGGUAAUAC